rnacentral:rRNA from 1 species
UUCCGGUUGAUCCUGCCGGACCCGACUGCUAUCGGAUUGAGACUAAGCCAUGCGAGUCAACCCGCAAGGGUGGCGGACGGCUCAGUAACACGUAGUCAAUCUGCCCUAGGGACGUGGAUAAUCACGGGAAACUGUGCAUAAACCGCGAUAGGUCAUCGCUUCUGGAAUGGGCAAUGGCUCAAACCUAUAUGGCCCUAGGAUGGGACUGCGGCCGAUCAGGUUGUUGGCGGGGUAAAGGCCCACCAAGCCUGUUACCGGUACGGGCUCUGAGAGGAGGAGCCCGGAGAUGGACACUGAGACAAGGGUCCAGGUCCUAUGGGACGCAGCAGGCGCGAAAACUUCGCAAUGGGCGAAAGCCCGACGAGGUUAGUCCGAGUGUUUUCUGCUAAAGGAAUCUUUUGUCAGCUCUAAAUAGGCUGGCGAAUAAGGGGUGGGCAAGCCUGGUGUCAGCCGCCGCGGUAAGACCAGCACCCCGAGUGGUCGGGAUGUUUAUUGGGCCUAAAGCAUCCGUAGCCGGUCCUGCAAGUCUUCCAUUAAAUCCACCUGCUCAACAGUUGGGCUGUGGGAGAAACUGCAGGACUAGGAGGCGGGAGAGGCGAGGGGUAUUCCUUGGGUAGUGGUAAAAUGCUCUGAUCCAUGGAGGACCACCAGUGGCGAAGGCGUCUCGCCAGAACGUGCUCGACGGUGAGGGAUGAAAGCUGGGGGAGCAAACCGGAUUAGAUACCCGGGUAGUCCCAGCCGUAAACGAUGCAGGCUCGGUGAUGGAUUGGCUUCGAGCCAAUCCAGUGCCGCAGGGAAGCCGUUAAGCCUGCCGCCUGGGGAGUACGGUUGCAAGACUGAAACUUAAAGGAAUUGGCGGGGGAGCACCACAAGGGGUGAAGCCUGCGGUUCAAUUGGAGUCAACGCCGGGAACCUUACCGGGGGAGACAGCAGUGUGAAGGUCAGGUCGAAGACUUUACCAGACGAGCUGAGAGGAGGUGCAUGGCCGUCGCCAGCUCGUGCCGUGAGGUGUCCUGUUAAGUCAGGCAACGAGCGAGACCCA